rnacentral:rRNA from 1 species
UAGGGAAUCUUCCACAAUGGACGCAAGUCUGAUGGAGCAACGCCGCGUGAGUGAAGAAGGCUUUCGGGUCGUAAAACUCUGUUAUUGAAGAAGAACGUGUGUGACAGUAACUGGUCAUGCAGUGACGGUAUUCAAUCAGAAAGUCACGGCUAACUACGUGCCAGCAGCCGCGGUAAUACGUAGGUGGCAAGCGUUGUCCGGAUUUAUUGGGCGUAAAGCGAGUGCAGGCGGUCUUUUAAGUCUGAUGUGAAAGCCUUCGGCUUAACCGAAGAAGGGCAUCGGAAACUGGGAGACUUGAGUGCAGAAGAGG